AUCCAGCUGACGAGUUUCAAAUAGGACGAAAUGCGCUUCCUGGAU
rnacentral:hammerhead_ribozyme from 1 species